rnacentral:lncRNA from 1 species
UGAGGUUUGGAGUAUGACUGAAUCCAUGACCCAGAUAUAAAGAAAUCACUCACUGAAGAUCCAGACUGUUCAUUGGAUAAUAUUAUCCUUUAAAUGUGUAGCUGCUUAUAAUGGUAACACAAUCAAAAAAAAUUUGUUGUAUGCAAUUGUAGGUGGUCAGGUACUAUGUUUGUGUGUGUGUGUGUGUGUGUGUGUGCAUACUGUUUAAUAGUCAUACUGGGCUGAAGUUUGUUGUACAAGUAUGAGUGUGUACACAUUUACCUGCAUGCUUGUGAGUAUGUGCAAAGUUCAGGAUGUUAAAUUGUGACACUUUGAUAAUUAAGGGCUUCUUGAAGCUUAGUUUUUAACAGGUACUUUUAAACAUAGAUUGGCAUGUACAUUUUCAGGAUAUAUAUCACUACUGCUAGAUCGACACAUACACUUUCAAGAUAUACAUCAGUGCUGCUAUAAAGCCUUAUUUUAAUUUGACUCUAUACUGUUGUGAAGAUUCUGUGCCAAUAUCAAGCAGUGGAGCUUUGGAUUUUUGAAAUAGUUCCUACAUUUGUUCAUUGCUGCUUUGUCUUCUGAUAUCAUUCACCAUCUUCUACCUUGCUGUAAUGAUUUUUUUAAUUCAUCGAUUUUAUUUUAUUAUUAUACUUUAAGUUCUGGGAUACAUGUGCAGAACGUGCAGGUUUGUUACAUAGGUAUACACGUGCCAUGGUGGUUUGCUGCACCCAUCAACCCGUCAUUUACGUUAGGUAUUUCUCCUAAUGCUAUCCCUCCCCUAGCCCCCCACACCGCAACAGGCCCCCGUGUGUGAUUUUCCUCUCCGUGUUCACGUG